rnacentral:rRNA from 1 species
UGGGGAAUAUUGGACAAUGGGCGAAAGCCUGAUCCAGCCAUGCCGCGUGUGUGAAGAAGGUCUUCGGAUUGUAAAGCACUUUAAGUUGGGAGGAAGGGUACUUACCUAAUACGUGAGUAUUUUGACGUUACCGACAGAAUAAGCACCGGCUAACUCUGUGCCAGCAGCCGCGGUAAUACAGAGGGUGCAAGCGUUAAUCGGAAUUACUGGGCGUAAAGCGCUCGUAGGUGGUUUGUUAAGUUGGAUGUGAAAGACCCGGGCUCAACCUGGGAACUGCAUCAAAAAAUGGCAAGCUAGAGUAUGGUAGAGGGUGGUGGAAUUUCCUGUGUAGCGGUGGAAUGCGUAGGUAUAGGAAGGAACACCAGUGGCGAAGGCGACCACCUGGACUGAUACUGACACUGAGGUGCGAAAGCGUGGGGAGCAAACA